rnacentral:rRNA from 1 species
UACGGUAGGGGGCUAGCGUUGUCCGGAUUUAUUGGGCGUAAAGGAGCUCGUAGGCGGUCUGUCGCGUCGGGAUGUGAAAAUCCAGGGCCUCAACCCUGGACCUGGCAUUCGAUACGGGCAGACUAGAGGUCGGAAGAGGCGAGUGGAAUUCCCGGUGUAGCGGUGAAAUGCGCAGAUAUCGGGAGGAACACCUAUGGCGAAGGCAGCUCGCUGGGACGUUACUGACGCUGAGACGCGAAAGCGUGGGGAGCAAACAGG